AGUGAACGCUGGCGGUAGGCCUUACACAUGCAAGUCGAACGGCAGCACGGUAUGAGCUUUGGCGGACGGGGGGCGACGGGCGAGCGGGGGAGGAGAACAUCGGCAUCUGCGUUUUCGUGGAGGUUGAAGGAAGUGCAAUUACCGCAAUACUCCUGACGGCCUACGGGUGGGAGCGGAAGAUCUUCGGCCCUUGCGCGGUUGGAUGUGCGGAUGUCGGAUUAGCUAGUUGGAGGGGUAAAGGCCCACCAAGGCGACGAUCCGUAGCUGGUCUGAGAGGAUGAUCAGCCACACUGGAACUGAGACACGGUCCAGACUCCUACGGGAGGCAGCAGUGGGGAAUAUUGGACAAUGGGCGCAAGCCUGAUCCAGCCAUACCGCGUGGGUGAAGAAGGCCUUCGGGUUGUAAAGCCCUUUUGUUGGGAAAGAAAAGCAGCAGGUUAAUACCCCGCUGUUCUGACGGUACCCAAAGAAUAAGCACCGGCUAACUUCGUG
rnacentral:rRNA from 1 species